GGUAUUUUAUUUAGGAAUAGAAAAAGAAAUAAAGCCCAGUAAAAACAACUGGGCUCAGUCCAUACUACAUCAAAUAGAAAAUAUAAAUUGGCCUCACUAUACAUUUGAAUAGUAAAAGCCUUCUAAGAAAACUUAAAAGAAGAAACCCUGACUUGAUGAAUGGAAAAGCAAUAAAUGAUACUGAACUAAAAACAGGUAACCUACUUAUCUACCCCAGUCAAUUCAAACGGUUGGAAUCCAUUAAGUGAAUCGACUUUUCAUUUCAACAUCCCAUCAUGAUAGCUAUUCCCAAAGAAAGUAAACAUCAAUUGCUAUCUAUUUUGAAACUCCAUCUUCACAAAGUGUUCUUUCAAUCUGGCCAUUGUGACCAUCUUCCAUCCAAAGCAGACUCUUGGCUCCCCGAACCUUCUCCCAUCAAGUACAAUAUCUCUCCUCUUUCAAGCGUAUUCUUUGCAAGUCUGUGACCUUUUGAGUUUUCUGAUAUAUGAAUAUGCUGAAAGUGAAUUUCUCGAAAGCACCUUUUCAUAUUCUAAAUAUCUUUGAUGAUCGCUCCGAUUAUUGAUUUGCUAAUGAUGUUGUUUGGCACUUUUUGAUUGUUGUUCUGGAAUCCCCCAUGAUAUUGAUCGAUUGUAUGCCCAUUGAGAUGCCUAAUUUUAAAGCUUCAAAACAUGCAUAUGCCUCUACUGCAAAUGGAGACGAAACGUUGUUGUGGAGAGUCAAUUUUGAUAACAGUAGUUCUCCCCUCAAACCCCAAACCACCAGACUUGGCGCCGACUGGAAGUUUUUAUUGUCAAAUGCUGCAUUAAACUGAAUCUUUGUUCUCGGUAUGUCUUCCUGAUCCCUGUGGUUUUUGUUGAUAAUUAAUGGGCUCUUAACUCCUUUCGCACUUUCAUAUUCUUCCAUGUAUCUCUGCACUCUUCUUGCGAUAUCUAUUCCCGUCGGCUCCUUCCUUUCGUGAAAGUAUUUAUUCUUGGAAGACCAGAUCAUCAACAAAGCAUAACAAAAAAGUCGACAGUGUUCAUCGGAACCACUCGUAAACACUCAGGUUAGCCAUUCCCAUAUAUUUUGACUCAUAUAAUUAAUGACCCAAGAGAGCCGUAAAUUUAUCCAGACCUCUAUUGAUAUAGGGUAUUGACGAAAUAUGUGAAAGCUAUCUUCAACCCCGAAAUAGCAGCGAGGAUAUCUGUCAUUUGAUAGGAUUCUUCUGUACUUGAGAUUAGCAAGAUGAGUGAUGAAAUCCCAUGAAAUUCUCCAAACAGUAGUUGUAAUUUUUGAAGGUAGCUGUAGGUUCCAAAGCUUCCUGUAAAUUUUUUUUAUUUCGGCACGUAUUAAAUAAUUUCUAGGAUCAGUAGUAGCUCUUUGUAAUGGUUUAUAGGCACUACGUACUGAGUAUUCGCUCGACGGUUCUCCUUUCCAUACUUGAAAAUCCUCAUGGUCUGUCUCUGCAAGAGGGAUCUGUCAGAUUUUUUGAGCAACAUCCGCUUGAAAGGAAUUAUUUAUCAAAUCUGUUCUCCAUUUCCUGUUUGAUAAAUCAAUAAGAUCCGAAACAACUGUUAGCUCAUUGUUUUGUCUGUUUUGUCCAUCAGGUUUCUCAAUCCCUAGAAUUCAACUAUCAUUCUAGAUUGAUAUCUUAUCCCCUCUACCCACUCUCCAGCACAUUCCAUUCUGAAGAAGGCCCUUAGCUGCCCAAAUACUCUUUCAGGUAAAUUUCCCAACUCUACAUUUAAAAAACUCGACUGCGGAUAAUAUUUUGCUUUUAAAACUUUGGUCAAUAAAGAAUUUGGAUAGUUAAUAAUACGCCAACCUUAUUUGGAUAACAAUGCAAUAUUAAAUUGACCAAAAUUUUGAAAACCUCAACCCCGGUUUUCUUUUAAAAAAUAAAGAUUUUUUCACGUGCACCAAUGAAUCCCCCUUUUUUCGUGUCCUUUUUGCCACCAGUAUUUCGCAAUAAUACUUUCUAAUUCGUCACAAAGAGAUUUUGGUAAUAGAAAGCAUGCCAUCGUAUAAGUUGGUAUGGCUUGAAGGAUGGCCUUUAUAAAAACUUCUUUUCCCUCUGCGAUAAAAACCUAUUGCUCUAGUUAUCGAUACGCUUUUUAACACAAUCCUUCAAACUUUGGAAAGACUCGUUUCUUUUUUGCCUAACCAUAUUUGGUAACCCUAAAUAGCGUUCUGGCUCAGUAGAAUUGUAGACCCCUAGUAAAUAAACGAUCAUCCUUCUGUCCUCUUUCGUUGUGUUCUUAUUGAAAAAUACUGUUGAUUUAUCAAAAUUUACACACUGGCCCGAACAAGAUCUAUAUUCACAUAAAAUGUCUUUAAAUAAAGUAGCCCCUUACGUGUUGCCUUCCCGAAUAAAAUGCAAUCAUCAGCAAAUGAAAGAUGAGUUACAUGUAGUCCAAUCCUGCUAAUUUUAACAUAUUGGAAGAAACCUCCAUUCAAAACUAGUCGCAUUAAACUCGAUAAACCCUCUCCACAUCCAAGAAAUAAGAAUGGGCUUAAAGGGUCACCUUGUCGGAGUCCACUUGUAAGUAUAAAACUUUCUUUAAUGUGUCCAUUAAUGACCACUAAUAAGAGACUGUUGAUAUACAUUUUACAAUAGUAGCUACCUAUUUUUUAUCAAACCCCAUUCUAAUCAUCAUCUCCUUUAGAAAAUUCUACUUCACCUUAUUAUAAGCUUUACUCAGAUCAAGUUUAACUGCCAUAAAUCCUUUCUUUCCCAAUCUCUUUUGUUUAAGUGUAUGCAGUAUUUCAUAAGCUAAUAACACAUUAUUUGAUAUUAAUCAUCCUUGCACAAAGGCACUCUGUGCACUAUUGUAGCAACGUAAAAAUUUUGUGGAUUCGGGUCGCUAAAUUGUGGCGAUUUAUUAGGAAAUUGGAAAUUGAAAUUUGGUUUUAAAAUAAACCGGGAGUCGCCACCGAUCCUUUUUCUAGGUGUGAUCGGACACCUAUUAGAUUUUUCUUUAAAAAAAUAAGGAAAAGGCUGAGUUAAGGUCUACGUUAAAAGUCAGAGAAAAAUUAGGGUUCGGGAGUCGGUUACGCGCGAGGAAGGUAUUAGCACCCUCGCGACGCCCAAAAUUGGUAUCUCCUAAACCCGUGUUGUCUUGACUUUUAAAAAUACGAGUUCAAUGUUAAAAUUUAGUCAUAAUCCGAUUAAAAGAACGAGAAAUUUUGGUUUAUUUCGUUUUUUUUAAGGGUAUAUCGCUUUAACAUGAGUCAAUUGACGUUCACCCAACAUAGCGAUGAACUCGAUGACUUAAUGUUAAAUCGGUAUAUUACCUUGAUUAUUGAUUUAAAUCAUGAAUAAGAAUAUUUUCGACAUAAUGCAAAGUAAAAUAAUAUGAAAUAAAAAUCAAUAAAUGAAAGAGCUAGGAAUAUAUUGAAACAGAUAAUCGAGGUGACAAUAAUAUUAGAAAAGAUGAAGGUAUAAUGGAAUUGAACACGAAAUGAAAAUAAUGAAUGUAUACGCGUAAUAAUAAUAUUAAGAAUGCGUGCGUAAGAUGAUAUAUGUAUAAAAAUGUUUACAUAAAAUAGUAUCUAAAAAUAUGAAAAUACAAUUACCUAAAUUAAAAUAAACGAGUAAGCAAAUGAUAUAAAUAAUUAAUACAAGCAUUACAAAAGACAUCAAUGAUAUGAUAAAAAUAAAAAAAAUUAAAAAAAUAAUUACUAAACUCAAAAUAUGCAAGUAAAUAAGCCCGAAUAAAAAAACUAUAAAAUGAAUCUAAAUAAAUUACCUAAUUAAAAUCAAAGUAAAAUAAAAAAAGGAUAAUUUACAAAUAAAAUAAAUUACUAAUAAUAAAAUAAGGACCCACGUAUAACACGCGUGAAUUUAUAGGGACCAAGACUGAAAUUAUCCCUAAUCUCGAAACACUGCGUUGAGACAUGGGCUAAAGUGUAAGAACUUACAAAUAUUAGGGAACAUUUAAAAAAUAAACAAAGUACAAAUAGAAGUCAAUUGAAAAUUGACGCGAAAGAGAAGGACCAAAUGCGCCAUUAGCCCAUUUGAAACAAAAGAAUGCGGAUCCAAUCUUUUGGAUUGGGUCAACACGCGUGGGUCCCCUCUUUUAAACUCCAUCAUUUCCAAAUCUGUUGCUAAGCUUUAAUACCCAUUUAUUUCCUUUUCAAAACCCAGCAACCUUUCAUUCUCUUUUUUUUUUAAAAUAGAAGCUUUAACCCCUUCCCCUAGGGUUUGAUUCAACAUGCAGCCGCCUAAACCAUCAUUUAUUUGAUGGCUGACUGUGCGUCAAUGGCGACCGGACCUUGUCAACGGAGGACACGCCCACGGAGAUUGGGUAAACACACUCUUCCCUUUCUUCUUUUUUUUUUUAAAAGAAAAAAUCUUAAAAUGUUGUGCUAUUCUACCAAAAAACAAAGCAAAAUCUGAUGAAAAUAAUAAUAAAAACAACCCUAGCCUGAAUCUCCAUAUUUUCGAGACAUGUGGGCUUUCAUCGGUGUUGUUUCAAACACGCCUUUCGUUUUCCAUGCUAAAAAAAAUCACAAGUAGAUCGAAAAUAAAGAAAAAAUGUGAAAUCACUUUUGAAUGACUUUUUUGAUUUCUUUUUGCUAUUCAGUAUGCAGGUAUUGUGUCUGUUUUUUCUUAUUGCCCGUAAAAAACUUACAACGGCUAUUACAUGGCUUUAUAGCCGAAUGUUCCAAAGAAAAGUACAAAAAUUUUGUUUCUUCUAUUGGCUACUCUUCUGUUGCUGCCGUUGUUUUGUUUCCUUCUUGUAGGUACAGAGUCUGUUGGCAUGCGUACGGGGUGUGGGCGUGGCGUACGAGGGCUGUGGAGGUAUGGGACUGCUGUAGUGGGGGUAUGGGGCCGCUGUAGUGGAGGUAUGGGGCUGUUUCAUGGUUGCGGUGCAAAACAAACAGAAGGGGGGACCUAGGGUUGCUGAAAUGUUUUGUGUGUUGGGCUAGGUGGGCUUUAGGGUUUUUGUAUUAUUUGGGUUAUUUAGUUUUGGGUUUGGGCCUUUCAAUGUGGAAAUUGGACCUGUUUUGAUUUUUGGGCUGUUUAACAUUGUAAAUGGACUUGAAUUUUGGUUAUGUGGAUUUUAUUUUUGCUUGGGCCAAAAAAUUGGCCAUUACAGCUGCCCCUCUUUGCUCAUUGUCGUGUAACGAGAAUGGAGCAAAGACUCCAAAAUGGCCAAUUUUGCUUAGUCUUACUGUAUCUUAACUUCUUGGUACAUCUUUUCUUCUAAUAGCCUCGUUUCAUCCCAUUGCAUCUUCAGGGGCAUAGGAAUUGUUGCUUUAAUUCACUCCACUGCAACUUCGGAGAUUUAAGGAGAAGAGAUUUGUAGCCUCGAUCUUCUCUACUAAAACUUCGAGGAAAUAAGAAUUCAGGUAGAAGGGAUUUGUAGCCUCGACCUACUCUAUUAAACUUCAAUUAGCUUCACUGUAAUUUCAGGGAUAUAAAAUUUGUAUCUUCGAUUAACUCCAAUCUUUAUUCUUUACUCGGUA
rnacentral:lncRNA from 1 species